UCAUAGUACUCACAGUGCAGCGUAUCCACAUAGCCGUUAUGACUGGACCACAAAAACCGAAACCAACCGCCGCAAACACCUAAGCACAAAAAUUAAGACAUUAGUCAAAUUUUGCUGCUUUUUUUUUGGUUUUUUGUUAGCUCUUCCCAGAGCGGGCUUAAUCCCUUCGCCAAAAAAAAAAAUGGGCAAGGAAUGGGUAAAAAAUAUAAAAUAUUUGCCAAAGGCUGCCGCAGGUACUUCCAUGGAAGUGCUGCCCCACGUCCAGCUCCAUUCUGCGGCUCUAUAAUUAGCCUAAUAACGCCAGGCACCCAUCGCAGCCUGCGUUUCGGAGUUCGGAGUUCGGAGCUCGGACCUCGGCUCAGUGGAGUUUUACUAUGUAUAAUGACUUCAAUUUGCCCUGAAAGCGAUUCCUGGAAAUCAAAUACGGCAAACGGCUAAAUGCCAUGCCAUAUUCCAUCCCACGGAGCGGAUGGUUUGGCAGAGGUGCUCUCGUGAGGGGAAUUUCAAGAAUUUCGAAUGAAAAAUUCGAAUAAAAAUUAAAAAUAUGGAAAAUGUAAGGAAGUUCCCCCAAAAUAAUUUUAAAUAACAUAACUAUAUAAUGUAACCAUUCGUGUUAAGAAAAACGUUUGUUCAUAAAAAUCUAAAACUGAA